UACAGAGGGUGCGAGCGUUAAUCGGAAUUACUGGGCGUAAAGAGCGCGUAGGCGGUCAUGUAAGUCAGAUGUGAAAGACCUUGGCUUAACCAAGGAACUGCAUUUGAUACUGCAUAACUAGAGUAUGGUAGAGGAAAGUGGAAUUUCCGGUGUAGCGGUGAAAUGCGUAGAUACCGGAAGGAACACCAGUGGCGAAGGCGACUUUCUGGACCAAUACUGACGCUGAGGCGCGAAAGCGUGGGGAGCAAACAGG
rnacentral:rRNA from 2 species